rnacentral:lncRNA from 1 species
CAUAUAUGUUAUGCAUAAAUAAAUAUUUUUGUUUUUUUGGUCGGACUUGGAUUUUGAUAGAUGAACUUUUGACAUUCGAUUUCGUCCAUAGGAAUUCAAAUCAACUCGAUUUUCUUUUUUUUCACUAUAUAUUGAUAUGUACCUGACCAUUUAGUCAAAAUUUACAUCGAAUUUAGCGGGUCACGGAUUUUUGGCCACCCUUAGGUUGUCCCAAUUUGAUAGGACACUUAUGUCUCCAAUUCACAAGGAGGAGCCAAUGAUUAAAAUCAUAAUCAAGAGGCCCACAAUGUAGGUUAAGUCCAUAAGAUUCAAUUAUUUAUUGGAGAGAGACUGGGUGGAAGGGAUAUUCUUGCAUAUGAUAUGAUAAGAAAUUUUAUUAUGAGAAAAUCAUCUCUCAAGUAGAAGUAUCAUUUAUUAUAUUAGCUUGUAAACCUUCAUGCUCAAUUUUUUCUAUAAAUAAUAUAUAGUUUUUUCUAUUGAAAUUAUGAGUUUUAUCAUUGGUUCGACCAUCCAGAUUACGACGGGAGCCGAUGAGUUUGAGAACAACACAUGCCACCUAAAAUAUGUGAUCGAAUGAAUGUGCUGGAGGGAAAGCUUGUGUAGGCCAAAUACUUCGUGCAAUAAGUAUUAGGAUAUUUUUGCAAGAUGAUGAUGGUUGAGUUUUAGAAGAUAAUGGACCCAACACAAGGGUGUUCCUCACAGGUCAACGAUAUAGCUAAUUUUGACACGACGUUGACAUUGACGAAAAUGUCCAUGUUGACAAAUCAGUCGACAUUGAUGAAAAUAGUCCAAGACAACAAGGGAGUAUACGUUGAAAAAAAUGUCCAUGAACAUCAAAAGUGGUUCUAAGUUCACAAAUUAAUAAUAAGAACCACAAUGCAAGAUGUGAAUUGCAUAUCAUUUCAAUGAGAGUAAUCAUCUUGUACACCAUUCAAGAAGAAAAAUUAUAUGCUAUUUGUGAGAGAUACUUGAAUUGAUAUUUGAUAAUUGUAUUACUUAUUCUAUUUUAGAGAGUGAUCA